rnacentral:rRNA from 1 species
GGUUAAAAAGCUCGUAGUUGGAUUUCUGUUGAGGACGACCGGUCCGCACUAUGUGCGUGUAUCUGGUUCGGCCUUGGCAUCCUCUAGGGGAACGGUGCUGCGACUUGAUUGCGUGGUCCGGUAUUCUGGACUUUUACUUUGAGGAAAUUAGAGUGUUUACGGCAGGCAAUCGCCUUGAAUACAUUAGCAUGGAAUAAUACUAUAGGACUUUGGUUCUAUUUUGUUGGCUUCUAGAACUAAAGUAAUGAUAAAUAGGGAUAAUUGGGGGCAUUCGUAUUAACACGUCAGAGGUGAAAUUCUUGGAUUGUGUUACGACGAACUACUGCGAAAGCAUUUGCCAAGGAUGUUUUCAUUGAUCAAGAACGAAAGUGCGGGGAUCGAAGACGAUUAGAUACCCGUCGUAGUCUGCACCAUAAACUAUGCCCACUAGAGAUUGGAGGUCGUUCCUUUUUUAUGACUCCUUCCAGCACCUUAUGAGAAAUCAAAGUCUUUGGGUCCCGGGGG